GAUAAACUGGAGGAAGGUGGGGAUGACGUCAAGUCAUCAUGGCCCUUACGACCAGGGCUACACACGUGCUACAAUGGCGCAUACAAAGAGAAGCGACCUCGCGAGAGCAAGCGGACCUCAUAAAGUGCGUCGUAGUCCGGAUUGGAGUCUGCAACUCGACUCCAUGAAGUCGGAAUCGCUAGUAAUCGUGGAUCAGAAUGCCACGGUGAAUACGUUCCCGGGCCUUGUACACACCGCCCGUCACACCAUGGGAGUGGGUUGCAAAAGAAGUAGGUAGCUUAACCUUCGGGAGGGCGCUUACCACUUUGUGAUUCAUGACUGGGGUGAAGUCGUAACAAGGUAACCGUAGGGGAACCUGCGGUUGGAUCACCUCCUUA
rnacentral:rRNA from 1 species